CCUACGGGAGGCAGCAGUGAGGAAUAUUGGUCAAUGGACGAGAGUCUGAACCAGCCAAGUAGCGUGAAGGAUGACUGCCCUAUGGGUUGUAAACUUCUUUUAUAUGGGGAUAAAACGUUCCACGUGUGGGAUUUUGUAUGUACCAUAUGAAUAAGGAUCGGCUAACUCCGUGCCAGCAGCCGCGGUAAUACGGAGGAUCCGAGCGUUAUCCGGAUUUAUUGGGUUUAAAGGGAGCGUAGGUGGAUUGUUAAGUCAGUUGUGAAAGUUUGCGGCGCAACCGUAAAAUUGCAGUUGAAACUGGCAGUCUUGAGUACAGUAGAGGUUGGCGGAAUUCGUGGUGUAGCGGUGAAAUGCUUAGAUAUCACGAAGAACUCCGAUUGCGAAGGCAGUUCACUGGACUGCAACUGACACUGAGGCUCGAAAGUGUGGGUAUCAAACAGGAUUAGAUACCCGAGUAGUC
rnacentral:rRNA from 1 species